ACUGUUUGCAUAGUUUUACCUUUUCCAGAAUGUCAUGCUGUUGGAAUAAAAAUAUGUAGCUUUUUUUUUUAUUGUGGCUUCACUUAGUGAUAUUUAAGGUUCUUUCAUGCCUUUCAUGAUUUGAUAGCUCCUCUCUUUUUAGUGUUAAAUGACAUUCCAUUGUCUGGAUGCACCACAGUUUACCCACUUAACUACUGAAAGACAUUUUGGUUGCUUCCAAGUUUUGGCAGUUAUGAAUAAAGCUGCUAUAAACAAUGAUGAAUAGGUUUUUUGUGUAGUCAAAUCUUGAGUAGACUCAUUUGGGUAACUGCUUGAUUGUAUAGAAAGAUUAUGAUGUUUAACUAUAAAAAACUGCCAAACUGCAAAUUCCAAAGUGGUUACACCAUUUUCCAUUCCCAUCAGCCAUGAAAGAGAGUUUGUGUUUGCUCUACAUCCUCGUCAGCAUUUGGUGCUGUCAGUGUCACAGAUUUUAGGCAUCCUAACAGGUGUGCAGUAGUUUGUUAUUGUUUUAGUUUGUAUUUUUCUGAUGACAUAUGUUGUUGAGCAUCUUUUCAUCUGCUUAUUUGCCAUCUGUGCAUCAUCUUUCGUUGUGUCUGUUUAGGUCUUCAGCUCAUUUUAAAAACUGAGUUACUUUCCUGUUGUUGAGUUUUAAGAGUUCUUUGUACAUUUUGGAUAAGUCAUUUAUCACAUGUGUCGUUUGCAGAUUUUUCUCCUAAUCUGUGGCUUGUCUUCUCAUUUUCUUGAUGAGAUGAGUGUUUGGAGAGCUUCAGAAAAUCUUGCUGCUUAUUGGAGCAAACAUGCUGUUACAGAAGGAAAGAAUUGCUUAUCCAUUCUAUUUUGAGAAAUUACAUAAAUCCAAACCCAUGGUGCCACAUGCACAAGUUUUUUGGUGAUAAGAAUGAUGAUAGGUGGUACAGUGCCUGCCUUGCAAGUUGCGAGGCUGAGUUUGAAUCCCAAGACAGCCAAAAAUAAAAAAUGAUAUGACACGUGAUACAUAAUGCCUAAGCAGGGCUUUAUUAUGUUCCCAACAAUCAAAUAUACUAAUAUUUCUGCAGAGAAAUACAAAUAGUCUUAGUAGGUAGGAUAAAAACCAUAGAAAGCUGUCUGCCAAUUUAGAUAGGAGUUUGACACCAUAUGACUUGUGGCACCAAACACAAAGAGCCACUCCAAACAAGACUUUAUAGGUGAUGCCUAAGUUUUUAGUUUGAUAGUGUUUAGCAAAAUGGAGAAAGAGUAGGGUAGGAACCAGCUAUUUUUUGUCUGAUUUUGAUUUAAUGUUGAGAAAUUGGGGACAGGUAGGAAUUGAUAAUUUGGUUGGCUUUUUGUUUGACUUCUGUGAAGAAGUCACAGCUAGAGAAAUAAAUUUGGGGAUCAGCAUAAGAGAGUGUCCACCAAAGGUUAGAAAAGAAUACGAUUCAGGAGAGAGUUUACAUACAGAAGAGAACAUUCCUUCACUUCAUACAAAAACCACAACAUCAGGCCAUUAGGACUCUUAACAACUAAUUUAUUUUAAAAUAGACAAACUAUUAAUUGUAGAAAAAAGAAACAGCAAUUUUAAAUGUAGUUUUAACUAGUACAAAAAAGCAAUAAAGCAGUAUCAGAAGCCUUAUUUAAGAAAUCUCAAUACACGAUCUCUGAAAUUCCUAAAAUUCUGUCACUACUUCUAAUGUGAACUUAUUAGUGAAAGACCCAGCAACAUGGUAUGCCCUUGACCUAAAAAUGAGCUGAUCUGUAUGAUAUUCAUGCAAAAAGUAAGUGAAGAAAUGGGGUAAAGCUUUCUAGUGUCACUGUUACCAAGAUAACUGUCAAAAUGAUAAGUCUGAAACUUAAUUGAGCACAAAAUAAAAUUGUUUUCGCAAAUAAAACUAGAUUUCUUUUGAAAAAGAACUCUGUGAGUAUAGACAAAGUGAUUUUUCUAAAUGCUAACUGAUGUUAUCUUAAAUACCACCUAUUUUAAAUUAUGGCAUCUCUAAAUAAGUUAAUCACACAAGAUAGUUUAAAUACACCUUUAGGUGUGGGGGAAGGGGAAGCGCCUCUUUUUUCUAAUGCACCUAUUUUAACUGGAAGCUUUUGCACAAAGUCAGAUAGAAACAUUAAUGUCUAACUUACAAAGACCUUUGACUACUUGCAAUCUCAGUCUAGAAAUAUUGUUGCUUUGAAUGUGCCAGUGUUAGACCAUACUGACUUUAAAAAAGUAGACGAUAAAUAGAUAAUUGCCAGUUGAAAAGAUACAUGGAAGACAUAUGCCAUUCUAGAGAAAACACAAACCUUCCCAAAUUUAGGAGGGCGGAAUCACUGUUGAGAUGCAAUUAGACAAAGCUCUUAAAAAAAAAAAA